UACAGAGGGCCCAAGCGUUGUUCGGAUUCACUGGGCGUAAAGGGUGCGUAGGCGGUUGGGUAAGUCUGUCGUGAAAUCUCCGAGCCUAACUCGGAAACUGCGUCGGAUACUAUUCAACUCGAGGAAUGGAGGGGAGACUGGAAUUCUCGGUGUAGCAGUGAAAUGCGUAGAUAUCGAGAGGAACACCAGUGGCGAAGGCGAGUCUCUGGACAUUUCCUGACGCUGAGGCACGAAAGCCAGGGGAGCAAACGGG
rnacentral:rRNA from 1 species